rfam:Xenopus tropicalis strain Nigerian Chr06_contig_802, whole genome shotgun sequence.
GGUCGGGUAGCCUAGUGGUAAGGGCAUCGGACUUGAAGCGGCCUGCGGACCCGCUAAGACAUAGGUUCGAUUCCCGGCCCCGACCC